rnacentral:rRNA from 1 species
GAGUUUGAUCCUGGCUCAGAUUGAACGCUGGCGGCAUGCUUUACACAUGCAAGUCGAGCGGCAGCGCGGGUGAGGGAAACUGAGCCUGGCGGCGAGCGGCGAACGGGUGAGUAAUAGAUAGGAACGUAUCCGGGAGUGGGGGAUAACUAGCCGAAAGGUUAGCUAAUACCGCAUAUUCUCUAUGGAGGAAAGCGGGGGACUCCUAAACCGAGGGCACAGCGGCAGUGUUUUGGGUUUAGGGGCCUCGCGCUCGCGGAGUGGCCUAUCUCCGAUUAGCUAGUUGGUGAGGUAAAGGCUCACCAAGGCGACGAUCGGUAGCUGGUCUGAGAGGAUGAUCAGCCACACUGGGACUGAGACACGGCCCAGACUCCUACGGGAGGCAGCAGUGGGGAAUUUUGGACAAUGGGGGCAACCCUGAUCCAGCCAUGCCGCGUGCGGGAAGAAGGCCUUCGGGUUGUAAACCGCUUUUAUUCGGGAAGAAGGAGUAGGGGCUAAUACCACUUAUGACGGACGGUACUGGAUGAAUAAGCACCGGCUAACUACGUGCCAGCAGCCGCGGUAAUACGUAGGGUGCGAGCGUUAAUCGGAAUUACUGGGCGUAAAGCGUGCGCAGGCGGUUCGAGAAGUCAGCUGUGAAAGCCCCGGGCUUAACCUGGGA